GGGCCAGUAGGUUGGUCGUGCCACCGGUACGUACUGGUCUCACUGAUUCCUCCUUCCUGAAGAACCGUAAUGCCAUUAAUUUGGUGUUGCGGGGAAACAGGACUGUUACUUUGAAAAAAUUAGAGUGUUUAAAGCAAGCUAACGCUUGAAUACAUUAGCAUGGAAUAAUGAAAUAGGACGAUCGAUCCUAUUUUGCUGGUUCCUAGGAUUGACGUA
rnacentral:rRNA from 1 species